UCGAAGAGCAGUAAGAGGACCUGACCUGACGGUAGACCAGCAGCAGAUUUGUUACCUAGUGAUGUCUCUGUGCUAGAGGAGGCUGAAGGCCAGAGGGACAAUGGCAGGGUCUCCUGUUGGAGGUGAGAUCUUAAUAGAAUAGGGGUGGUGAAGGAUGAUCUCCUAGGUAGACUAAACUCCCAACAGAGAGGCCGGGGCCGGUUCCUGUUGGGAGGAAUGGGGCACAUUCUAGGUGGAAAGACUGUAGCUGAGUCCACGUGUGGUGAAAGACGCUGGAGCAUGGUAUCAGUCCUUACUUUGUUGCUGUC